rnacentral:rRNA from 1 species
UCACUAGUGAAUCCUACGGGAGGCAGUAGGGGGAGCUUGCGCAAUGGGCGAAAGCCUGACGCAGCGACGCCGCGUGAGGGAUGACGGCCUUCGGGUUGUAAACCUCUUUCAGCUCCGACGAAGCGAGAGUGACGGUAGGAGCAGAAGAAGCACCGGCCAACUACGUGCCAGCAGCCGCGGUAAUACGUAGGGUGCAAGCGUUGUCCGGAAAUUAUUGGGCGUAAAGAGCUCGUAGGCGGUCUGUCGCGUCGGCUGUGAAAACUCGGGGCUCAACCCCGAGCUUGCAGUCGAUACGGGCAGGCUAGAGUUCGGCAGGGGAGACUGGAAUUCCUGGUGUAGCGGUGAAAUGCGCAGAUAUCAGGAGGAACACCGGUGGCGAAGGCGGGUCUCUGGGCCGAUACUGACGCUGAGGAGCGAAAGCGUGGGGAGCGAACAGGAUUAGAUACCCUGGUAGUCCACGCCGUAAACGUUGGGCGCUAGGUGUGGGAGCCCUUCCACGGGUCCCGUGCCGCAGCUAACGCAUUAAGCGCCCCGCCGGGGAGACGGCCGGAAGGCAAACCCG